CGUGCUUAACACAUGCAAGUCGAACGAGAAUCUGUGGAUCGAGGAUUCGUCCAAGUGAAGCAGAGGACAGUGGCGGACGGGUGAGUAACGCGUGAGGAACCUGCCUUUCAGAGGGGGACAACAGUUGGAAACGACUGCUAAUACCGCAUGAUACAUUUGGGUGGCAUCAUCUGAAUGUCAAAGAUUUAUCGCUGAAAGAUGGCCUCGCGUCUGAUUAGCUGGUUGGUGAGGUAACGGCCCACCAAGGCGACGAUCAGUAGCCGGACUGAGAGGUUGACCGGCCACAUUGGGACUGAGAUACGGCCCAGACUCCUACGGGAGGCAGCAGUGGGGAAUAUUGGGCAAUGGGCGCAAGCCUGACCCAGCAACGCCGCGUGAAGGAAGAAGGCUUUCGGGUUGUAAACUUCUUUAAGAGGGAAGAGCAGAAGACUGUACCUCUAGAAUAAGCCACGGCUAACUACGUG
rnacentral:rRNA from 1 species